GGAAAUUUAAUCAUUGGUAAGAUGUGUUAUUUGCUAUAUAAUUGAAGAGAUUCUGUGUGGGUUCGAUUCCUACAAUUUCCG
rfam:Pichia kudriavzevii strain SD108 scaffold00057, whole genome shotgun sequence.